rnacentral:rRNA from 1 species
AUGAACGCUGGCGGCGUGCCUAGUACAUGCAAGUCGAGCGAACAGACGAGGAGCUUGCUCCUCUGACGUUAGCGGCGGACGGGUGAGUAACACGUGGAUAACCUACCUAUAAGACUGGGAUAACUUCGGGAAACCGGAGCUAAUACCGGAUAAUAUAUUGAACCGCAUGGUUCAAUAGUGAAAGACGGUUUUGCUGUCACUUAUAGAUGGAUCCGCGCCGCAUUAGCUAGUUGGUAAGGUAACGGCUUACCAAGGCGACGAUGCGUAGCCGACCUGAGAGGGUGAUCGGCCACACUGGAACUGAGACACGGUCCAGACUCCUACGGGAGGCAGCAGUAGGGAAUCUUCCGCAAUGGGCGAAAGCCUGACGGAGCAACGCCGCGUGAGUGAUGAAGGUCUUCGGAUCGUAAAACUCUGUUAUUAGGGAAGAACAAAUGUGUAAGUAACUAUGCACGUCUUGACGGUACCUAAUCAGAAAGCCACGGCUAACUACGUG